rnacentral:tRNA from 1 species
AUUUAUCUAAUAUAAAAAGUAUAUUUGACUUCCAAUCAAAAAGUUUAAUUAAACAAGAUAAAUA